AUGACUGCCAGUGAUUCCACUCGCCCGGUGGGAGGCUGAAGAGACAGAACGCAGCUGGUUGCCCAGAGCUCAGCUGGGGCAGGCCUCCUACACUGUGUGGCCAGAGCUUCCCAUGGCUGGCAGACGGAGGUGCCUGUCCCAGCAAAGCUGCCCACUCGUCAGGAGCACCGAUGUUAAGGGGCGUCAGAGUGGGUGACAUGAGCUACUUGGUGCUAACUACUCCCUGGCCUUCUUCUUGAGCAACCACUUGAAUGUCUUUUGGCCUCGAAUUCCUUAAAUUUUAAAACUGAUUCCUCUCACUCCCUAAGCACUGCCAGUAUGCUGCAAGGAUAGAAGUCCAUUUGUGCCUUCCCGGUUCUGCUACCUUAUUUUUUCUCUACAACUCAGCUGGGGUGUCAUCUUUUCCAGGAGAACAUCUCAGAUUCCCCUCACUCUCCAAGCCAGGACUGGUUGAAUCUCCCAUCUCUGUGCUUUCAACUCUCUGAACAUACUUUUAACAUAGCCUCACCCUCCCUUCCCCUCUGGCCCUCUCAGCAGAUGGUAAACGCCUUGAGACAGGGAUGGUUCUCUACCCGACUCUGCAUGUCCAGCUCAUCCCAGUGCCUCCCAGAAAGCAAAUGUGUCCAGCUGAACUCAACCUUCUUAGCCAAAGUGGAAUAUUUUUCUACAGAUGGUGUUAGAAAAGUAAGCAUCAAAUUAUAUGAAAUUGGAUCUUUGGACUUUAACACUGUAUGGACCUAACCCUUCAGAAGAGGAAACUGAGGCCCUGAAGAUGAAAUGGCUUGUCCAGAGCAGAGCCAGGUGUCAGCAGCCAGACCGAGAUAUGAGCACCUUUACUGGUGGAGCAAAGCUUGUCAGUGAUGGCAGAAACCUUCCCUGGGCUGAGGUUUGUCCUAUAAAAUGGCCCCAAACAUGCUCAUCAGCCGGGGUGGUCUUUGGCCCCCAAAAUGUAAAAACUCUCUGGCCUCUGAAUUUUCUGUCUUUUUUCAUUUCUACUACAUAUUCUUCUUUCUUAAAAUUUACCUUUUAUUAAUUUUGAUUAUAAAAGUAUAAAAAUCUUAUAGAGAUUCUGGAAUAUGCUGAAAAGUAAAAGAAAGAGAAAAUUGAAAACUAUUUGAAUUUCAUCAGCCAGAGACAGCCUGUAUUAUUAUGGUUUAUCGCCAACAAAUGAAUGCAUGUGACUGAGAUCAACCUGUAUGUUGAAUUUUAUGUUUUUUCCUUUUUGGAUUAUUGUUGGAUUGUGAGCAUUUCUCUAAGUUCUUAAAAAUGGGGUGUUUUCUCUGCAGCCUUUGUGCCAUGAAGCUUUUCAAUCAACACACUUUGUUCUGCAUUAAUUUAUAAAUAAAAAGGAGCUUGGGGCCGGCCCGGUGGCGCAGCGGUUAAGUUUGUACAUUCCGAUUCUCGGCGGCACAGGGUUCGGUGGUUUGGAUCCCAGGUGUGGACAUGGCACCAAGUG